rnacentral:tRNA from 1 species
GCAGUGGUGAUUCAAUGGUGGAAUCUUCGCCUUCUGUGCAGGAGACCCAAGUUCGAUUCCCGGCCAAUGCA